UGAUAUGCGGGGCUCAAGCCCAAUUUCUUUAGUUUAGUAUUUCUUUUACUUGUAUUAGAGAUGUGUACAAUGUGUUAGGCAUGUGGUACAUUUAGCACUAUAUACAAGCAUGCUAACACAUCUUGUAAUCACUUUUGAGCUAAUUGAAUUGUUACCUGUUGAGAAUUACUCCAGAACAAUUCUACCUUGAAAGUCAAGGCUAGAGAAUCCCAAAGGAUCUCCUCUANCCACCUUCCAUUUCACACUUACCAUUAUAUCAUUUUCCACCAUCAAUUUCUCACUCCUCCACGUAAUACCACCGUACGCCACCUUCCAAUCCACCUUUGUCGCGUGGCCUGCGUCAGCCACCUCUACAUUUCUCAGACUUCCACAUUAUUAUGCAUCAUUUUCACAUUUCCCUCAUCAACACUGAUCGAAGCCACAUACCUCUUUCGCCUAGGGUUUCCUUCGCGAAUCUCUCCUCGCGAGUGUCAACUUCCUAGAUCCAUAACCACUACUACCUCCGCCUCACCGGAUCGUCUUCCUCGUCAGAUCCACCGAACCAAAUCUCCGAUUUUCCUUUUCCGAUUCUUCGCACCGAUCAAACCUUGGUUUGGUGCCUUAUCUUUGCUUCCGCCAUCGUUUUUCGUCUUUUCCACCGAUUAGAAUUGGAAAUCUGGGCCAUUUCAUCGAUUCAAUCG
rnacentral:lncRNA from 1 species